GAUUUUGAAGGCUGGGCUGGGUGUUUGGAAGAGUGAAGUAAUUCACAAGAGGGUUCGCUAGGCUUGUGCAAAUACACCAUGGCCGGAGAGGAAAACAGAUGCAAACCCAGGCUCCUUGGCUUCGUGGGCUUAAGGAGGAGCUUUUGGUCCUUGGGUGAGUUGUCUGGAAGCCUUGCAGAGGCUGUGUCCACCCCACAGAUGCUCCAUGUUCACUGGGCAGCUGGGCUCACCAGGCCUGUUUGUGAAGAACAUGUGCCAAACCAAAGAAACUCCGGAGCCUGCUGCCUGUGGAACAGAGUCACAGGGCAGCCGGCACUGUGUGGAAUUGCCACACACAGAAGCAAAACAAUCGGGCUUGCCAGGCCAGCUCCCAGAAGUCAGCGGCUCAUGGCAACAUGCUUCUUUUGGGUAACUCAAGGUCUUCACCUGCACCAGACCCUAGAGCCUUGGUGGGUCUUAUGACUAAGGAGCUGAUAUGCUGUGGCAAGGCUAAACUAGGCUUUGCCAGUACUCCCACUUUGUUAUGGGCCAGCUUACUCUUCCAAGCCUCAGUUUCCCUCCUGGUGAUGUUAACGGUCUUACUUUGAUGAUUUUGGCGGCAGGGGCGGCGGUGCACGGGGUGGGGUUGGGGAGCAGUCCUGGCUUGAGGUCCUGAGGAUCUAGAAAUAGCCACAGCUUUUGCAGGACAAGCUUUGCCAAGCCCCUUGGUCUGAAUUUUAUAGUAAGGACUGAGAAGAAUGCUCCCAACCUUGCCUUUAGGGUCUGCAGCUUCCUAGUUGCAAGGUCCUGUCUGAUUGGUCCCUGAGAACAGUGGCUAAGAGACAGCACAGAGCUGGAAGCAGGGCACACGGGUGCUUCUCUAUUUUUCAUUUGCUGUGCUCGUUGGAAACAACCUUGAAGCAACUAAAUAGGGAGAGUCACCAAAUAGCUUCCAAAGAGCGAGAAAAUACAACUCCUCAUUUACCUAUCCAGGCUCAGGAGGCCGAGGCAGGAGCAUCUUGAACUCAAAGAUCGCCUGGACAACUUCGUGAUAGGACACUUGCCUAGUGUGUGUGGUCCUGGGUCAGGCUCACGUCUCCAGUGUGAGCAGCUCUGAAAUCACGUGUAAGGAUGCACGUAAACAAGUCCUGCCCAAGUCCUGUACACUUCACAGACAGGACACGUUAAGUAUGGAUCUGUGUAUAGGAAUUCUUCCCAUAGUUAUUCAAAUACAACCUCACAGAAAGGUCUUGUAAAGGGCAGCUGUUAUGUGCCCAGCUGCUAGAAUCAUGCUACAGGAAAAAAAAAAAA